UACAGAGGGUGCGAGCGUUAAUCGGAAUUACUGGGCGUAAAGCGUGCGUAGACGGUUUCGUAAGUCGGGUGUGAAAUCCCCGGGCUCAACCUGGGAAUUGCAUUCGAAACUGCGAGGCUAGGGUACGGAAGAGGGAAGCGGAAUUUCUGGUGUAGCGGUGAAAUGCGUAGAUAUCAGAAGGAACAUCAGUGGCGAAAGCGGCUUCCUGGUCCAGUACCGACGUUCAGGGGCGAAAGCGUGGGGAGCAAACCGG
rnacentral:rRNA from 1 species